GGCUCAGGAUGAACGCUGGCGGCGUGCUUAACACAUGCAAGUCGAACGAACCUUCGGGUUAGUGGCGGACGGGUGAGUAACGCGUGAGAAUCUGCCCUCAGGAGGGGGAUAACGGUUGGAAACGACCGCUAAUACCCCAUAUGCCGAGAGGUGAAAUGAAAUUCGCCUGAGGAUGAGCUCGCGUCUGAUUAGCUAGUUGGUAGGGUAAAGGCCUACCAAGGCAUUGAUCAGUAGCUGGUCUGAGAGGAUGAUCAGCCACACUGGGACUGAGACACGGCCCAGACUCCUACGGGAGGCAGCAGUGGGGAAUUUUCCGCAAUGGGCGCAAGCCUGACGGAGCAACGCCGCGUGAGGGAUGAAGGCCUCUGGGCUGUAAACCUCUUUUAUCAAGGAAGAAGAACUGACGGUACUUGAUGAAUAAGCCACGGCUAAUUCCGUGCCAGCAGCCGCGGUAAUACGGGAGUGGCAAGCGUUAUCCGGAAUUAUUGGGCGUAAAGCGUCCGCAGGCGGUUUUACAAGUCUGUCGUUAAAGCGUGGAGCUCAACUCCAUUUCAGCGAUGGAAACUGUAAGACUCGAGUGUGGUAGGGGCAGAGGGAAUUCCCGGUGUAGCGGUGAAAUGCGUAGAUAUCGGGAAGAACACCAGUGGCGAAAGCGCUCUGCUGGGCCAUAACUGACGCUCAUGGACGAAAGCCAGGGGAGCGAAAGGGAUUAGAUACCCCUGUAGUCCUGGGCCGUAAACGAUGAACACUAGUGUCGGGGGAAUCGACCCCCUCGGUGUCGUAGCCAACGCGUUAAGUGUUCCGCCUGGGGAGUACGCACGCAAGUGUGAAACUCAAGGAAUUGACGGGGGCCCGCACAGCGGUGGAGUAUGUGGUUUAUUCGAUGCA
rnacentral:rRNA from 1 species